rnacentral:rRNA from 1 species
UACGUAGGGUGCAAGCGUUGUCCGGAAUUAUUGGGCGUAAAGAGCUCGUAGGCGGUCUGUCGCGUCGGCUGUGAAAACCCGGGGCUCAACCCCGGGCCUGCAGUCGAUACGGGCAGACUAGAGUGCGGUAGGGGAGACUGGAAUUCCUGGUGUAGCGGUGAAAUGCGCAGAUAUCAGGAGGAACACCGGUGGCGAAGGCGGGUCUCUGGGCCAUAACUGACGCUGAGGAGCGAAAGCGUGGGGAGCGAACAGG